UUUAAUUUUAAGCAACUUUCCCUGUGGAUUCGAUCCUGUAAGAUACUACAACGCCUGUAUACUUGCAGGUAAAACUGCACUAGAUUUUUGAUUCAUUAAUUUGAGUCAAAGUUUAGUCGCAACAGCCAGCGUAUGUGAGGAACAAAUUUUGGGCAGGAAUGUCAAGUACCCAAAGAAGCAAGGGGAUGAAUGCGUUCUUUGAUGAUUAUUUAAAUUCAAAGACAACACUAAAACAGUUUGUAGAUCAGUAUGAUAAUGCACUUAGGCGCAAGAUUGAAAAUGAGCUUGCAGCUGACUUCAACUCAUUCCACACACAAAUUCCGUGCAUAACUUUUUAUGGCAUUGAGUGGCAGUUCCAAGCAGUGUAUACAAAUGUAAAUUUUAAAGAAGUUCAAGAAGAGUUAAGAGGGUUGAUUUAUUGUUGCGCAUAAAUGAUUCGAAGUGAAAGAGGGAUGUUUACAUAUCAUGUGGCCGACGAGAUCCAAGGUAUGGAUGGGUUUAGGAAAAGUACAAAAUAUGUUGUUGAGUUUAACGAGGAAGAGUGUGAAGCGAGUUGCACAUGUCAGUUAUUUGCUUUUAAGGGAAUUUUGUGUAGACAUGUCAUCCGUGUGUUGACACUCCAUAACAAAGAAGAGCUACCUGCAAAAUACUUUCUUGAUAGGUGGAGGAAGGACAUGAAACGACAUUACACGUUUGCAAAGUUAAUGACUCAGUUAAGUAAGUUGAAGUUAGAGUGGGUUGACGUCCAGCCAGUGUGUGAUAAUCAUUCAAUGGAGUCAUUAAGGGUGACAAAAGGGUCUGAUAAAUUAAAAAGUCAAGCAGCUGCACGUAGUAAAGGUAGGUCAAUUUCUAAGAGGAAACAGUCCAAGGCUGAGAAGGCAGUGAAUAGGUUGAAAGCAAGGAAGACUCAACGAGCUCAGUAGAAUAGGCGCAUAAAUAGAACAGUUGUAGGAGAUUUUGGCUCACCUAGCUUGGCGGAGCGUGACUUUCCUAUAGCCUCGACUGCUCAAUCGACUGUGGUACAACCAUCUUUUCAACUUUUAGACGAUGAUAUCUCUUAUUGUACUCCUACAUAUCAAGAUGUAGACGUCGAUAUCCGUUUGGGAUUGUAGAUCAAUUCUUUAGCUAUAUUGGCCAAGCCCUAAUAUGGCAGACUAAGUAUAAGAUACAAGUUAAUUGGGAGAUGAAAGCAGCUAAAGGAAAGGAACUUUGACAAGGCAAAGCUAGAGUGUUGAUUUUGGGAGUCUGGGACUCCAAAUUAUUUUGAGUAUUUGUAACAAUUUAGUGAAAAUUUGAGUAUAACCAAUCACUUGAAAAAUUAACCAUUUUGUAACUAUGCUUUUAAUGUUGAUAAUGUUAUACUAACAAUUAUAUAUUAUUGCUGAUGUUAUCUGCAUAUGAUUGCAUUGCAUGAUAUGCAAUAGUGCAUGUACUCACCCAAAAGAAAUUUA